rnacentral:lncRNA from 1 species
GCAGAGCAUUUUGUACGUGGCCGGUGCUGUGGUAUGAGUGCCAUUGUGAGCUCACAACACUUUAGGGGGCCACAGAACCCCAAGCAUUAUACUUUAGUCUUUCCUUUCUACCUUUCUGCCUCUCUCAGUAAAGGCUGUUAUUAAGUAACAAAUUCGGGUGGGUCAAGGGCAGAGUAACCAAGAGAUCUCAGCAAGCAUGAGGGAGAUUCAAGGAGCUGGCAUUGUGUGACUGGGGACAGAAAAGCCCUCAUGCAGGCAGGCGGGUCACAAUUGUUCCCUUCAGAUUUCUGAGGGGCUGCCUUGGUGGGAGAGGGGGUAGUUCAGUUCUGUGGGGCUCCAGGGGGCAAAAGGCAUGAUAAAUGAGUAGAAGUCAUGGAGAGGUGGAGCUUGCCUCCAGACAGAAUGCUAAGAAGGAUGCUGCUGCACAGUGGGGACUGAGCCAACUCACUGUUCAACAAAUAAGCAUUGGAGGGUCUCUAGUUCCAUAGAAAGAAGGCAAAUGAAGAGGACAGAAGAAGGAGAGAGACCUUCCCACCCCAUCAGCCCUAUGCUGCAGAGAGGGAUCCCACAUCUACUUCUCUUGCAGAAACCAACUGGUGGAAGUGACCUUCUCAUGGAGUGUCCUUCACAACUCCUACUCAGUCAGCACACUGGAAGACUUCAAAACUUAUUUGCUGAACAAAAGGGGAGUGGGCUCAAUCCUCUAACUCUUUACCACUCAAAAUGUGGUCCAGGGACCAGCUGUAGCCUCAUCACCUAUGAAUCUGUAAAAUGUGUGGAAUCUCAGGCCUUGCCCCAACCCACUGAAUCAGAAUCUGCAUUUUUAAGAGGCUCCCCUAGUGACUCCUGUGCACCUUAAAUCUGGAGAAGCACUGUUCUAACCAACCCCCUUCUUGGGCUGUAGCCAGUUAUUUCAUUGGCUGGAUGGCCAAAUCGCGCUGUGGGUAGGUCAAUCAAUCCUGCAACAUUUGGCAAUUAUGACACCUGAUUCCACUCUAAGAGAGACAAAUUGGUACAGUCAUGGAGCUGUGACCUCAGCAGCAGCUGUGGGAGCUGCCAAGUAUAAACUCCAGGCCAAAUGACACUACUUCUUUUCCUUCCUGCG